rnacentral:rRNA from 1 species
AAACAACCCAGACCGCCAGCUAAGGUCCCAAAGUCAUAGUUAAGUGGGAAACGAUGUGGAAAGGCCCAGACAGCCAGGAGGUUGGCUUAGAAGCAGCCAUCCUUUAAAGAAAGCGUAAUAGCUCACUGGUCGAGUCGGUCUGCGCGGAAGAUGUAACGGGGCUAAACUAUGCACCGAAGCUGCGGAUUCAUACUUUGUAUGAGUGGUAGGGGAGCGUUCUGUAAGCGGUUGAAGGUGUACCGGGAGGUAUGCUGGACGUAUCAGAAGUGCGAAUGCUGACAUGAGUAACGAUAAUGCGGGUGAAAAACCCCCACGCCGGAAGACCAAGGGUUCCUAUCCCAUGUUAAUCAGGGUAGGGUAAGUCGACCCCUAAGGCGAGGCCGAAAGGCGUAGUCGAUGGGAAACGGAUUAAUAUUUCCGUACUUGGUAUAAUUGCGAUGGGGGGACGGAGAAGGCUAAGCAAGCAUGGCGAUGGUUGUCCAUGUGAAAGUGAGUAGGGCGUUUGUUUAGGUAAAUCCGGACGAACAUUAAACCUGAGACACGAGACGAGCUACUACGGUAGUGAAGUUGCUGAUGCCAUACUUCCAGGAAAAGCCUCUAAGCUUCAGAUUAUACCGAAUCGUACCCCAAACCGACACAGGUGGUCAGGUAGAGAAUACUAAGGCGCUUGAGAGAACUCGGGUGAAGGAACUAGGCAAAAUCGUACCGUAACUUCGGGAGAAGGUACGCUCCUAUCUGUGAUGAGACUUGCUCUCUAAGCGGACGGGAGCCGCAGUGACCAGGUGGCUGGGACUGUUUAUUAAAAACACAGCACUGUGCAAAAUCGCAAGAUGACGUAUACGGUGUGACACCUGCCCGGUGCCGGAAGGUUAAUUGAUGGGGUUAUCUUCGGAGAAGCUCUUGAUCGAAGCCCCGGUAAACGGCGGCCGUAACUAUAACGGUCCUAAGGUAGCGAAAUUCCUUGUCGGGUAAGUUCCGACCUGCACGAAUGGUGUAACCAUGGCCACGCUGUCUCCACCCGAGACUCAGUGAAAUUGAAAUCGCAGUGAAGAUGCUGUGUACCCGCGGCUAGACGGAAAGACCCCGUGAACCUUUACUACAGCUUGGCACUGAACAUUGAACCUACAUGUGUAGGAUAGGUGGGAGACUUUGAAGAUGAGACGCUAGUCUUGUUGGAGUCGUCCUUGAAAUACCACCCUUGUAGUUUUGAUGUUCUAACGUUGGCCCCUGAAUCGGGGUUACGGACAGUGCCUGGUGGGUAGUUUGACUGGGGCGGUCUCCUCCCAAAGAGUAACGGAGGAGCACGAAGGUUGGCUAAGUACGGUCGGACAUCGUACGGUUAGUGUAAUGGUAGAAGCCAGCUUAACUGCGAGACAGACACGUCGAGCAGGUACGAAAGUAGGUCAUAGUGAUCCGGUGGUUCUGAAUGGAAGGGCCAUCGCUCAACGGAUAAAAGGUACUCCGGGGAUAACAGGCUGAUA